rnacentral:rRNA from 1 species
AGCGCAGGUGGUGAUUUAAGUCUGAUGUGAAAGCCCACGGCUCAACCGUGGAAGGUCAUUGGAAACUGGAUCACUUGAGUGCAGAAGAGGAAAGUGGAAUUCCAUGUGUAACGGUGAAAUGCGUAGAUAUAUGGAGGAACACCAGUGGCGAAGGCGACUUUCUGGUCUGUAACUGACACUGAGGCUCGAAAGCGUGGGGAGCAAACA